GACGAACGCUGGCGGCGUGCUUAACACAUGCCAGUCGAACGGAAAGGCCCUGCUUUUGUGGGGUGCUCGAGUGGCGAACGGGUGAGUAACACGUGAGUAACCUGCCCUUGACCUUGGGAUAACUUCAGGAAACUGGGGCUAAUACCGGAUAGGAGCUCCUGCUGCAUGGUGGGGGUUGGAAAGUUUCGGCGGUUGGGGAUGGACUCGCGGCUUAUCAGCUUGUUUGUGGGGUAGUGGCUUACCAAGGCUUUGACGGGUAGCCGGCCUGAGAGGGUGACCGGCGACAUUGGGACUGAGAUACGGCCCAGACUACUACGGGAGGCAGCAGUGGGGAAUAUUGCACAAUGGGCGGAAGCCUGAUGCAGCAACGCCGCGUGCGGGAUGACGGCCUUCGGGUUGUAAACCGCUUUCGCCUGUGACGAAGCGUGAGUGACGGUAAUGGGUAAAGAAGCACCGGCUAACUACGUG
rnacentral:rRNA from 1 species